rnacentral:rRNA from 1 species
UAACGGCGAGUGAAGCGGCAAAAGCUCAAAUUUGAAAUCCUGCGGGAAUUGUAAUUUGAAGGUUUCGUGGUCUGAGUCGGCCGCGCCCAAGUCCAUUGGAACAUGGCGCCUGGGAGGGUGAGAGCCCCGUAUGGCGCACGCCGACUCUUUGCACCGCGGCUCCGACGAGUCGAGUUGUUUGGGAAUGCAGCUCUAAGUGGGUGGUAAAUUCCAUCUAAAGCUAAAUAUUGGCGAGAGACCGAUAGCGAACAAGUACAGUGAUGGAAAGAUGAAAAGCACUUUGAAAAGAGAGUGAAACAGCACGUGAAAUUGUUGAAAGGGAAGGGCUUGCAAGCAGACACGGUUUUACCGGGCCAGCGUCGAAAAGGGGGGAGGAACAAGAACUCGAGAAUGUGGCGCGCACCUUCGGGGCGCGCGUGUUAUAGCUCGUGUUGACGCCUCCAUCCCUUUUCGAGGCCUGCGAUUCUAGGACGCUG